rnacentral:rRNA from 1 species
AUGAACGCUGGCGGCGUGCCUAAUACAUGCAAGUCGCGCGAACAGACGAGGAGCUUGCUCCUCUGACGUUAGCGGCGGACGGGGGAGUAAAACGUGGAUAACCUACCUAUAAGACUGGGAUAACUUCGGGAAACCGGAGCUAAUACCGGAUAAUAUAUUGAACCGCAUGGUUCAAUAGGGAAAGACGGUUUUGCUGUCACUUAUAGAUGGAUCCGCGCCGCAUUAGCUAGUUGGUAAGGUAACGGCUUACCAAGGCGACGAUGCGUAGCCGACCUGAGAGGGUGAUCGGCCACACUGGAACUGAGACACGGUCCAGACUCCUACGGGAGGCAGCAGUAGGGAAUCUUCCGCAAAGGGCGAAAGCCUGACGGAGCAACGCCGCGUGAGUGAUGAAGGUCUUCGGAUCGUAAAACUCUGUUAUUAGGGAAGAACAAAUGUGUAAGUAACUAUGCACGUCUUGACGGUACCUAAUCAGAAAGCCACGGCUAACUACGUG